AAGACUAUCCGUUCAGGGAUCAUUUCUGUAGUUCAUUCUAGAGAAGUUUCUCUGAAUGUGUAGAGCACCGGAACCCACGAGGAAGAGGCGCCGUUUUCUCUCCCGAGCGUGAAGCUGGCUUCCGGUGUUGCUUCAGUGCCACCGCCACCUGUCACUGAUGAUCGUUCUCCUUUCCUCUUCGGAGAGUAAGAGGGAGAAGACGCUGUCUGAGUAGA
rnacentral:snoRNA from 1 species